rnacentral:rRNA from 1 species
AACGAACGCUGGCGGCAGGCUUAACACAUGCAAGUCGAACGCACCUUCCGGGGUCAGUGGCAGACGGGUGAGUAACGCGCGGGAAUCUACCCUUCUCUACGGGAUAGCUCCGGGAAACUGGAAUUAAUACCGUAUACGUCCUGAUGGAGAAAGAUUUAUCGGGGAAGGAUGAGCCGGCGUGGGAUUAGCUAGUUGGUGGGGUAAAGGCCUACCACGGCGACGAUCCAUAGCUGGUCUAAGAGGAUGAACAGCCACAUUGGGACUGAGACACGGCCCAAACUCCUACGGGAGGCAGCGGUGGGGAAUAUUGGACAAUGGGCGCAAGACUGAUGCAGCCAUGCCGCGUGAGUGAUGAAGGCCCUAGGGUUGUAAAGCUCUUUCAGUGGGGACGAUAAUGACGGUACCCACAGAAGAAGCCCCGGCUAACUUCGUG